AUUGAACGCUGGCGGCAGGCCUAACACAUGCAAGUCGAGCGCGAAAGUUCUUCGGAAUGAGUAAAGCGGCGGACGGGUGAGUAAUACAUGGGAAUCUGCCUGGUAGUGGGGGACAACGUUUCGAAAGGGACGCUAAUACCGCAUACGCCCUACGGGGGAAAGGGGGGGAUCUUCGGACCUCUCGCUAUCAGAUGAGCCCA
rnacentral:rRNA from 1 species